UACGAAGGGGGCGAGCGUUGUUCGGAUUUACUGGGCGUAAAGCGCACGUAGGCGGAUUGUUAAGUCAGGGGUGAAAUCCUGGAGCUCAACUCCAGAACUGCCUUUGAUACUGGCGAUCUCGAGUCCGGGAGAGGUGAGUGGAACUGCGAGUGUAGAGGUGAAAUUCGUAGAUAUUCGCAAGAACACCAGUGGCGAAGGCGGCUCACUGGCCCGGUACUGACGCUGAGGUGCGAAAGCGUGGGGAGCAAACAGG
rnacentral:rRNA from 1 species